UACGUAGGUGACAAGCGUUGUCCGGAAUUAUUGGGCGUAAAGGGAGCGCAGGCGGUUGGAAUAGUCUGAUGUGAAAGCCCACGGCUUAACCGUGGAAGGUCAUUGGAAACUGUCCAACUUGAAUACAGAAGAGGUAAGUGGAAUUCCAAGUGUAGCGGUGAAAUGCGUAGAUAUUUGGAGGAACACCAGUGGCGAAGGCGACUUACUGGUCUGUAAUUGACGCUGAGGCUCGAAAGCGUGGGUAGCAAGCA
rnacentral:rRNA from 1 species